rnacentral:rRNA from 1 species
GUGUCAGCCGCCGCGGUAAUACGGAGGGUCCAAGCGUUAAUCGGAAUUACUGGGCGUAAAGCGCGCGUAGAUGGUCUAUUCAGUUGGGUGUGAAAUCCCUGGGCUCAACCUAGGAACUGCAUUCAAAACUUAUAGACUAGAGUACGAAAGAGGAGAGUAGAAUUCAUGGUGUAGCGGUGAAAUGCGUAGAUAUCAUGAGGAAUACCAGUGGCGAAGGCGACUCUCUGGUUCGAGACUGACAUUGAGGUGCGAAAGCGUGGGUAGCAAACAGGAUUAGAUACCCUGGUAGUCCACGCCGUAAACGAUGAGAACUAGCCGUUGGAUCUUUAGAUUCAGUGGCGCAGCUAACGCAUUAAGUUCUCCGCCUGGGGAGUACGGCCGCAAGGCUAAA